rnacentral:rRNA from 1 species
GCUGGAUAGGCAUGCAGGUCGCGGGGAAUCCAGCAAUGGGGAACCGGCGUAAGGGGCAGUAAGGCAUGGGUAUCUACCCAGGGGUUCGGAAUAGCCACCAGAGAUGGUGGGUAAUACCGGAUGAUGUCGUGAGACCAAAGGUCCGCCGCCCUUGGAGGAGCCCAUGUGAUAUUAGCUAGUUGGUGAGGUAACGGCUCACCAAGGCGAAGAUGUCUAGCGGGUGUGAGAGCACGACCCGCGCCACUCGCACUGAGACACUGGCGAGACACCUACGGGUGGCUGCAGUCGAGGAUCUUCGGCAAUGGGGGCAACCCUGACCGAGCGAUGCCGCGUGCGCGAUGAAGGCCUUCGGGUUGUAAAGCGCGAAAGUGGGGAGAAAAGCCGAAAGGUGUGAUCUAUCCACAGUAAGCUCGGGCUAAGUUCGUGCCAGCAGCCGCGGUAAGACGAACCGAGCGAACGUUGUUCGGAAUCACUGGGCUUAAAGGGCGCGUAGGCGGGCUGCCAAGUCUGGGGUGAAAUCCCGCGGCUCAACCGUGGAACUGCCUCAGAUACUGGCGGCCUCGAGGGAGAUAGGGGCGAGCGGAACUAAUGGUGGAGCGGUGAAAUGCGUUGAUAUCAUUAGGAACUCUGGUGGCGAAGGCGGCUCGCUGGAUCUCUUCUGACGCUGAGGCGCGAAAAGCUAGGGGAGCAAACGGGAUUAGAUACCCCGGUAGUCCUAGCCCUAAACGUUGGGUACUAGGUAGUAGACUAGACAUGGGUUUACUGCCGAAGCAAAGUGCUAAGUACCCCGCCUGGGGAGUAUGGUCGCAAGGCUGAAACUCAAAGGAAUUGACGGGGGCUCACACAAAC